CUAGACGGAGGAGAGAGUAAAGGAGGAGGCGAUGGGUGUCUGAGGAGAGAACAGCAACAGGAGAGGAAAGAAGAUGGUAGGAGUGAAGACCACAUGGAAAAAGGAAGAAGAAAGUGUGGGCAGUGGAGACUCAGACGGGGAAUCAACAGACUUCCCCAGGGUCUGGUGGGAAGAAAGAUAGUAAGAAGCUACGGGAAAUAGGACUGACAUUCUGCAAAAUAAGAAAAUGAAGAGGUACCGAAACAACAUAAAUACAAAGGCAGAAUACUAAAUAAUCUCAAUAACCAUCAGUUUUAUACCCAACAUGAAACAACUGAAUCUCAGAUGCUGGAAUGAAUAACAAUCCUUUGACUGAGGGGUUAAAAAAAAUCAUUUUUUCAUCUGCAUCCGUUGAAACAGACGAGUAAAUAAAUGGAAUAUUUUAAAAUAA